rnacentral:rRNA from 1 species
CAUGCUUUCGACGUUGCCUAAGGAUGGGACCGCGUCCGAUCAGGUUGUUGGUGGGGUAACGGCUCACCAAGCCUAUAACCGGUACGGGCCCUGAGAGGGGAAGCCCGGAGAUGGAACCUGAGACAAUGUUCCAGGCCCUAUGGGGCGCAGCAGGCGCGAAACCUCCACAAUGCACGAAAGUGUGAUGGGGUUACCCCGAGUGCCUUCCGUAUAGGAGGGCUUUUCUUCGGUGUAAGGAGCCGGAGGAAUAAGGAGGGGGCCAGAUUGGUGUCAGCCGCCGCGGUAAUACCAACCCUCCGAGUAGUAGGGAUGAUUAUUUGGC